GGGGACUACGAGCGCCAGCUUAAAACCCAAAGGACUUGACGGUGUCUCAGACCCACCUAGAGGAGCCUGUUCUAGAACCGAUAAUCCCCGUUCAACCUCACCACCCCUUGCUUUUCCCGCCUAUAUACCGCCGUCGCAAGCUUACCCUGUGAAGGACUUACAGUAAGCAAAAUGGGUACUACCCAAAACGUCAGGUCGAGGUGUAGCUCACGAGGUGGAAAGAAAUGGGCUACAUUUUCUUUAGCAGAAUAUUACGAACAGCACUAUGAAACUAGUGCUUGAAGGUGGAUUUAGUAGUAAAAAACAAAUAGAGUG
rnacentral:rRNA from 1 species